rnacentral:rRNA from 1 species
GCUUGCUGGGUGGAUGAGUGGCGAACGGGUGAGUAACACGUGAGUAACCUGCCCCCUUCUUUGGGAUAACGCCCGGAAACGGGUGCUAAUACUGGAUAUUCACUGGUCUUCGCAUGGGGGUUGGUGGAAAGGUUUUUUCUGGUGGGGGAUGGGCUCGCGGCCUAUCAGCUUGUUGGUGGGGUGAUGGCCUACCAAGGCUUUGACGGGUAGCCGGCCUGAGAGGGUGACCGGUCACAUUGGGACUGAGAUACGGCCCAGACUCCUACGGGAGGCAGCAGUGGGGAAUAUUGCACAAUGGGCGAAAGCCUGAUGCAGCGACGCCGCGUGAGGGAUGACGGCCUUCGGGUUGUAAACCUCUUUCGCUCAUGGUCAAGCCGCAACUGUGGUUGUGGUGAGGGUAGUGGGUAAAGAAGCGCCAGCUAACUACGUGCCAGCAGCCGCGGUAAUACGUAGGGCGCGAGCGUUGUCCGGAAUUAUUGGGCGUAAAGGGCUUGUAGGCGGUUGGUCGCGUCUGCCGUGAAAUCCUCUGGCUUAACUGGGGGCGUGCGGUGGGUACGGGCUGACUUGAGUGCGGUAGGGGAGACUGGAACUCCUGGUGUAGCGGUGGAAUGCGCAGAUAUCAGGAAGAACACCGGUGGCGAAGGCGGGUCUCUGGGCCGUUACUGACGCUGAGGAGCGAAAGCGUGGGGAGCGAACAGGAUUAGAUACCCUGGUAGUCCACGCUGUAAACGUUGGGCACUAG